rnacentral:rRNA from 1 species
AUUGAACGCUGGCGGCAUGCUUUACACAUGCAAGUCGAACGGUAACAGGCCGCAAGGUGCUGACGAGUGGCGAACGGGUGAGUAAUGCAUCGGAACGUGCCCAGUCGUGGGGGAUAACGCAGCGAAAGCUGCGCUAAUACCGCAUACGAUCUAUGGAUGAAAGCGGGGGACCGUAAGGCCUCGCGCGAUUGGAGCGGCCGAUGUCAGAUUAGGUAGUUGGUGGGGUAAAGGCUCACCAAGCCAACGAUCUGUAGCUGGUCUGAGAGGACGACCAGCAACACUGGGACUGAGACACGGCCCAGACUCCUACGGGAGGCAGCAGUGGGGAAUUUUGGACAAUGGGCGCAAGCCUGAUCCAGCAAUGCCGCGUGCAGGAAGAAGGCCUUCGGGUUGUAAACUGCUUUUGUACGGAACGAAACGGUCCUGGUUAAUACCCGGGGCUAAUGACGGUACCGUAAGAAUAAGAACCGGCUAACUACGUGCCAGCCGCCGCAGUAACAC